GCAUCCUGAGGCCUGGAGUAAAACUCUUGAAUUUUCCUCAAGACUUGGCCACUGCUUUGUCUAAAGUGUGUUCACCAUGGUUUCAAAAGCCAGCUCCCUCCGCAUCCCAGGUACUGAUGAAAACAAGCCAUUUAAAGAAUGAGGCAUUUGCUGCUGCUGCUGCUGCUACCUGGCUUCAACAAAGAGAAUUUCCAGACAUAUUAUUCAUCGGUUUGGUGGUAGAGCAAGGAAUGCCAGGUGGCCUGGACCAGACAGACUGCUGCUCUUGAUGACAAGAAUGACCCGAGGACAGUUCUAAUGAUGAAGUGGUGACCACCAGGAGAAGUGGGAAGUUUAUAGCUGGGAUGCUGCGAUUUUUCUUUUCUGGGGAUGUCAUCAUCGGAGUUCCAACCCCUGUGACUGUCAGAAGUUUGGAGGGGUUGGAAGAAGAACAACUGAUGUUCUAUCCUGUGCCAGUUGCUCACCUAACCAAAGACAGCUGGAGGAUACUUUAUUGACUCUGUUCUGGGGAAGGGGAAUAGGGUUCGUCUUUGGUAGCACUUCCUCUACCUUCUCUUUUUAUCCUCUUUUAAGUCUCCAGUAUUGCUCUUGUAAUCAUGGGAAAUUGGGGAGGAUUUGAAUUGACAGCCCUUAAUUCUGUGGCUCAAAGUCACUAUGGAACAUGAAGCAAAAGUAUGGCCUCAUUUGUUCCUUGCUGCAAAAUGCAGAAAACAGACAACAGAAAGUUCUUAUUAUACAUUUAUAAUCCAGGCACUGAGAGGCUAACUUAAGUCUUUUGUUCUCAGCCCACUGACCCCCUGGCCUCAUAUGGGCCAUGUGCCUUCCUCUGGCCCAAUCAACUAUGAUUUGGACAUGGAGCCACGGAGUAUCAGUGGAACAGGCCCCAUUGUCAUAGUAGGGCAAAGUCAGUGGAGGUGACUGACAAGAGAGGAGCCAGGAAAGAUAUUGGAAUCCUUAUCACAGGUGUUCUCCCAGGAAGUGUGUGAGAUUUUUCUCAAAUACUUACAGGAUAUGGGUUAAAACUGGAAGAUGUGCUGAUAAGCAGGGUCUCUUGGCUUCUUCAAACAGCCCUGAGACUCUACCUUCUGGAGGAUUUUACAUAGCUAAGUUUGCCCCCAGAGAAGAAAUGCAUGAAUUGAUAGGUGCUCCAUAGCUGCUGUGUUUGUUCCUUUAUGUUAGGAGAAAACCACACCCAUGUCAGGAAUUAUAUGGUUCAGUGGCCGAUGUUUGUGUGCCCAUCUGUCGAUUAAUAAUGAGCAUCCAAUAGCUAAAGUUUUAUAAGUAUAAAUUAAAAUGUAUUCACACCCUGUCUAAGCCAGUCUGACAAGUGGAACAAAAGUAUAACAAAAGAAAAAGCAGCCAGAACAUUCUCCCCCUGCUAGUAAAUGUACAGAUAAUAAAAUAUAUUGGGUGUGGUGGCCUACACCUUUAAUCCCUGCACUUGGGAGGCAGAGGCAGGAGGAUCUCUGUGAGUCCAAGGCCAGCCUGGUUCCAGGACAGCCAGAGCUAAACAGAGAAAUCCUAUCUUGAAAAAAAUAAAUAAAAAUGAAUAAAUAAAUAUAAAAAUAAAUAAAG
ensembl:lncRNA